rnacentral:rRNA from 1 species
AGUGAACGCUGGCGGUAGGCCUAACACAUGCAAGUCGAACGGCAGCACAGUAAGAGCUUGCUCUUACGGGUGGCGAGUGGCGGACGGGUGAGGAAUACAUCGGAAUCUACUUUUUCGUGGGGGAUAACGUAGGGAAACUUACGCUAAUACCGCAUACGACCUACGGGUGAAAGCAGGGGAUCUUCGGACCUUGCGCGAUUGAAUGAGCCGAUGUCGGAUUAGCUAGUUGGCGGGGUAAAGGCCCACCAAGGCGACGAUCCGUAGCCGGUCUGAGAGGAUGAUCAGCCACACUGGAACUGAGACACGGUCCAGACUCCUACGGGAGGCAGCAGUGGGGAAUAUUGGACAAGGGGCGCAAGCCUGAUCCAGCCAUACCGCGUGGGUGAAGAAGGCCUUCGGGUUGUAAAGCCCUUUUGUUGGGAAAGAAAAGCAGCAGGUUAAUACCCCGCUGUUCUGACGGUACCCAAAGAAUAAGCACCGGCUAACUUCGUG